rnacentral:lncRNA from 10 species
UAACCAGCUGCAGUACUUUUUGUGUGGUGUGGAAGUGUUUGUUUUUUGCAAUAGAUUUUUGUUGCAGUUUAGGUUUGUAUUUUCUUUGUUUUGUAGUGCUUAUUAUGAAGGUUCGUAGGUUUAUGUCUGUAGGCCAGGCAGGUCAUUAAACUUAACAAAGAAUAAGUAAGUCGGGAGAGGGGAAUAGAAAUCUCCACAUACAUAUUCUUAAAAGCUGUAACACUCACCACAAAGAUCUGCUGAGUGAAGUCUGUGAGACGAACGCACCAAGUCUGGACGCUCUGUCAGGCUACAUUUUACGUUUUUGGGAGUGAGCAGGUGUUAUUCUGUUCCCCGGGUUGGUUUUGAAGUCAUGGCUCUCAAGUAAUUUUUGUGCUUCUCAAAAGUGCUGGAAUUGCAAAGAGUUCAAACAUUGAAUUAGUUGUGCAAUGGAAGGAGUAUUACCAGGACCCAGAUGCAGCCCAAGGAAAAAAGAAAACAAAAGGAGACACACACAGACACCAGAGCAUGAUGCAAGUGUGGCUUAAUCGGUGCUUGCACAUUGGGCUUGUUCUUUCCAAACCUGUUGCCCCGAUUCUGCAAGGCUAUCCUGCUGUAGAAGGAGGCCCUGGAGGACAAGACACCAUGUGGGGAAAACAGCCAUGGGGAGCAGAACCGAGGUAUCCCAGCUUAGCUCCCAACUGACAGCAGCCACAUGAGUGAGCAGAAAAACAACUUCCAAGGGUGAUUUAGCUACUGCUGCUGUGGAAUGUCAAAACUUUCAGCAAGGGAGCCCGAUGCAGAUCUGUUGAUAUGACACCAUUCCACAAGAAGACCAACUGAUGGCUUUGUGGCAAGUUGACUACACUGGGCUGUUUCUAUUCUGGGAAGACAGAGAUUUGUUCUAAGAGGAAUAGGCAUGUGUUGCAGGCAUAGGUUGACCUUUCCUGCCAUGGAGCCUCCUCUGGUACCACUAUUUGAAGGUUGAAGGAAUGUUGAUUCACCAGGAUUGAGUCAGACCAGCCAAGCCUAUGACCAUGAUGUCAACUGACUGUAUCACCUGUCACAUCAUCCAGAAGCUACAGACUUAUAAGGCAUUGGAAUAACUUGUAGAUGGCCCCGUUAAAGUACCAGCUUAGAGGCAACACUCCAUGAGAAUGAGACAUCAUCUCCAGGAUGGCACAUACACAUUGAAUCACACAGCAUUGAUAAGGAGAUGGCUCCCCAGUAGGAAGAAUAUAUUGGUCAUGAACCAAGGGAUGAAGCAGAAGUGUCUUGCUUCCUGUCCCUGCAGCCUCUCUUUCUGCAGUGCUAGAAAUCCUGGUCAAAAGGGGGCAUAAUUUUAUCAGGGGACACAGCAAAAGUCUCCACUACAUUGCAGCUAUGCCUGCUGCCUGGGGAUUUUGGGCUUCUUAUAAUUGGGACCAGCAAUAAAAGAGAAGAGUCACAGUCUUGGCAGGGCUAAUUGACCCUGAUCAGCAGGAGAAGAAAGGCUGUGGUUCCACUAUGAGGGUAGGGAAGACGUGUGGCACCACUGAUCCACUUUUGCAACCCAUGGUACUCCCGUGGCCAGUUGUGAUGACAGACAAGUGCAGGAACACUUUUGGGAAGGGCAUGGUGGCCAGAGUUCAGACCCCAUGGGAAUGAGGACCAGGGUCACACCACUGGAUAAGCCAGGAGAUUCUUCCCUUGACAUCACACCAGGAAAGUCUGACAACUUAACUUUAUUGGAUAUAGGCAACCGUUGAAUCCAAGUUUUGCCCACUGAAUCCAUCAAAUUGUUACAGCCAAUUCUAGAUGCCUGAGUGGACACAUGAAAUCCAGAUUCCCCAGUAAGCGCAUCCCCAUUAAUAAACUGACCAAAUGCAAUGUUAAUCUGUUCUAUAACCUUUAGAAUCCAUCCCAACAUAUAUUUUUUAGGUUCCUGCCAAGAUAUGUUAGCAAAAGCUUGCAAUUUUUUGAAAAAUGAAUUAUCUCUUCCUGGGACAUGUGUUGUACUUUUCUCUCUGAAAUAGGCUGAGCUCUGACUCCAUUAAAAGUCUGAAAGCAAUGAAGAGUGAAGGAGCGGAUAUUGGGGAGAAUAGGCAUCCUCUUGCAAGAUAACUGCCUCAAAGUCAUUAUAAGGUUUUCAAGCAAGAGAAAGCUAAUUUCCUUACACAUAUGAAGAAGCGUUGCUUCUCCUGGCAAGAAAUACACAGUGAAUCAGGGAUUCAAAAUUCUUAGCUUUAUCUAAGUUUACCCAGAUGUGUCUAUCCUUCCCAAUCAGUGCUCUUGGCAGGAGACUUGGCAAGUCUGCGAAGUCAACUUAUGUUAUAAUUCUGCAACCCACACAAGUUCUUAUUUUCAAUGAGGGUAACCUUGCAGCCACACAAAAUAGCAAAAUUUUUUAAGGAGUACCAUAGACACACUCUGGUUCUCUGUGUUCAGUGUUUUAAGCCUAUCUUUUUGUUCCCCUGUAAGCUCUUCAAUGUAGUCCAAAAUACACCAUCUGUGGUAGGCAGAAUUCUAAGAAGGUUCCAAAGAUUCUCACCCAUGGUGUAGAGAACUUGUAUAAUUUUCUCCCCUAAAGUGUAGGUGGAGCCCGUGAAUAGGAUGGGAUAUUAAUACCAUGAUUGUGUUAUAUUUUGAGACAAAAAAAAUUUUGUAGAUGUAAUUAAAGGUACUAAUCAGUUGACUAUGAGUUUAUCAAAAGGGAGAUCAUCCAGGUGGGCCUGACCUAAUCAUAUCAGCCCUCUAAAUCCUGGUCUAUGGGUCAGAGAAAGAGGAAGGCAGAGAUUUAAAGCAUGAGAGAAAUUCAAAGCAAACUAGAUUCUCCAUUGCUGUCUUUGAAGACAGGCAGCCAUGUGGCAAGGAAUGUGGGUAGCCGAUAGUGGCCGAUGACAGCUCCCAGCCCACACUUCAAGUUUAGCCUCGUAGGGCCCUGAGCAGGGGACACAACUAUACUGCAUUUACAAC